UUUGCGCGUUUCCAAUAGAAACAUAAGGGUUAAUUUCGUAAUAGGGUCACCUCGUAAACCCUAGCGGUGGAUUACUUCCCUUCCCUAUAAAUACGAUGUACGCAGGGGUUUAGGAUCAAGCCGUUCGGCACAUUUCACCCUUCGCGCAGUUCCCAGCGCCCCCUCUCACACCACCAUUGCCAUGGGAUUAGAAAGAUGCGAUGAAAGUGGUGAAAAGGAGGGGAGUUAGAAUUUAGCGGCUUGAACUGUUUGCAGUUAGUCUGCAUUCAACACUGCUUGAACCCGCAAUAGCCAUGGAGGCCACAUUUUAGACUUUCAAGUGAUGUUAAAUUGAUGACAAUAUGGGAAUAUCUUUCAAUUGGCAUGGUACUAUUAAUUGUGAUAUUUUGGAGUUUUCUCUAUGAUGAUUAAAACGAUGACGAGUCUGAUCUCUUUAUCCAUUCAACCCUGAUGACAAUCGAGGCAUUUGUCUGAGAGAAACCCCAACUAUUCAUCCCCAUUUCUCCUCUGAAAUGUGGCUUCAAAAAUUGCAUUUUUUUCUAAUGAAGUGUUUACUUGUCAAAGGGUGUUGGUUUUAUAGUUGUUGCAUGUUUGGAUUUGUUGUAUUGCUUGCUUUCAAGAUUGCAUGUGUGGCUGUGCUUCACCUCACGUUAUAAAUUUUAGAAAAUGUUGAAGAAAGAUAGUGGGUUAAUUUCUUGACCUCUUUUUGCUACGGACUUUUGUGGGUUGCAAGUAGUCAAGACUUUUCUGGUGUGAUUGGUCCAUGAGUGCACAUGGUCCACCCAUGUGUUCACUGGAUUUGACCUCAGUGUUGGUGAAUUGAGAUCCCCUCCAAUUGAGGAGAAAUUGGAGAUUCUCCAAUUGUGAAUUGAGAUUCCCUCCAAUUGAGGAGAAAUUGGAGAUUCUCCAAUUGUUAAUUGUGGCCCUUCAUUUUAAAUCCAAUAGUCUAUAAAAUGCGAGCUGCUUUUGUAUAACUAAGGCAUUAAAUGCUGGCUUUUAUUUUAUCGAAAUUUAAAUGAUUUUAUAGAUCAUUGGAUUUAAAAUGAAAGAUCAUGAUUAACAAUUGAAAAAUCUCUAAUUUCUUCCCGAUUGGAGGGGAUCUAGAUCUGUUGUCUGUAGAUUCCCCCAAUGCCUAGGGAUUAGAAAGAUGCGAUGAAUGUGGGGAAAGACAAGGGAAUUAGAAUUUAGUGGCUUAAACUGCUCGCAGUUAGUCUGCAUUCAACAUUGCUUGUACCUGCAACAGCCAUGGAGUCUACAAUUUAGACUUGCAAGCGAUGUUAAGUUGAUGAGAAUAUCUUUCUCUAUGAUGAUGAAAACGAUGACAAGUCUGAUCUCUUUAUCCAUUCACCCUGAUGACAAUCGAGGCAUUUGUCUGAGAGAAAUGCUCCAUUUUGUUCUGCUUGACCUUUUUGAUCUCCUAUAUUCCGUUUAUUUCUUUUGCUCUGUAUAAAUUGUAAGAGAUUAUGUGGCAUUGGCUGUAUGGAAUUAUGAUUUAACUUGUGAUUCUAUUUUACGGAAACAUUUCUUGUCCGUCUUUGGCACUAUUAAGAAUCUGGUUAGGAUUGCGUUUGAGAAAUAAAGUUUUUAAGACAAAAAGAGCUUUUGGGCAAAAGUUUCAUUUUUAAGUUUGUCAAAAGUUUUUUAUUUUUUUUGGCUACUUUUAGGCUUCUUGGAUUCUUAAAAGUGUUUUUAAUUCUAAAUGAGUAUUUUUUUAUUUUUAUUUUUUUCAAACGGACCUUUUGAAUGUUAAAAGUACUUUUAGGCCCCUCAAAUACAAUUUUAAACAGGCCCUAAAUAAUCAUUUGGUUUUAAUAUUUUGUAGUCAGGAGUAGUAGCGAAUGUGGAUUGUCUAUUUGAGAGGGUAGUGGUGCCUUCCUUGAGCCUAUAAUUGGUUCAACGGAAUGGGCCUUAGUGCAAUUAACAUCUGUUUAAAUGGGAAAUGGUUUGCACAUUUGUGAUCUAUAAAGUUAUAAACUGCUGAAUUGCUUUAAUGGUUGAAGGCUUGAAGCUGCUAAACUGGAAGUUCUCGGCUAGUUCGGUAUUGGUUAUGUCACUUUGCCCGCUUAUGUUCUGGGUUUAUGUAAAUUUGCAAUUUCCGUCUGUUGUGAUGGUGUCAUUUGUCUUGGUUCAUAUCGGGUGUGAAAAUGAAACGACAUUGAAAUUUGAGAAUAUUAUACAUA